rnacentral:rRNA from 1 species
CCCGCACAAGCGGAGGACAUGUGGUUUAAUUCGAUGAUACGCGAGGAACCUUACCUGGGCUAGAACGCCGGACGCAUGAGGGAACCUUCCAGCCCGCAAGGGCGGCCGGCGAGGUGCUGCAUGGUUGUCGUCAGCUCGUGCCGUGAGGUGUCGGGUUAAGUCCCAUAACGAGCGCAACCCCUACCGUUAGUUGCCAGCGGGUCAUGCCGGGAACUCUAGCGGAACUGCCAGCGUAAGCUGUGAGGAAGGCGGGGAUGACGUCAAAUCAGCACGGCCCUUACGUCCAGGGCUACACACGUGUUACAAUGGCCGGUACAGAGGGCAGCCACCCCGCGAGGGGGCGCGAAUCCCGAAAGCCGGUCGCAGUUCGGAUCGGAGUCUGGAACCCGACUCCGUGAAGCUGGAUUCGCUAGUAAUCGCGCAUCAGCCAUGGCGCGGUGAAUACGUUCCCGGGCCUU